rnacentral:rRNA from 1 species
GACGAACGCUGGCGGCGUGCUUAACACAUGCAAGUCGAACGGAAAGGCCCUGCUUUUGUGGGGUGCUCGAGUGGCGAACGGGUGAGUAACCCGUGAGUAACCUUCCCUUGACUUUGGGAUAACUUCAGGAAACUGGGGCUAAUACCGGCUAGGAGCUCCUGCUGCAUGGUGGGGGUUGGACAGUUUCGGCGGUUGGGGAUGGACUCGCGGCUUAUCAGCUUGUUGGUGGGGUAGUGGCUUACCAAGGCUUUGACGGGUAGCCGGCCUGAGAGGGUGACCGGCCACAUUGGGACUGAGAUACGGCCCAGACUCCUACGGGAGGCAGCAGUGGGGAAUAUUGCACAAUGGGCGGAAGCCUGAUGCAGCAACGCCGCGUGCGGGAUGACGGCCUUCGGGUUGUAAACCGCUUUCGCCUGUGACGAAGCGUGAGUGACGGUAAUGGGUAAAGAAGCACCGGCUAACUACGUG